rnacentral:rRNA from 1 species
AACGAUGAUGCCCAGCUUGCUGGGUGGAUUAGUGGCGAACGGGUGAGUAACACGUGAGUAACCUGCCCCUGACUCUGGGAUAAGCGUUGGAAACGACGUCUAAUACUGGAUAUGACUGCCGGCCGCAUGGUCUGGUGGUGGAAAGAUUUUUUGGUUGGGGAUGGACUCGCGGCCUAUCAGCUUGUUGGUGAGGUAAUGGCUCACCAAGGCGACGACGGGUAGCCGGCCUGAGAGGGUGACCGGCCACACUGGGACUGAGACACGGCCCAGACUCCUACGGGAGGCAGCAGUGGGGAAUAUUGCACAAUGGGCGAAAGCCUGAUGCAGCAACGCCGCGUGAGGGAUGACGGCCUUCGGGUUGUAAACCUCUUUUAGUAGGGAAGAAGCGUAAGUGACGGUACCUGCAGAAAAAGCACCGGCUAACUACGUGCCAGCAGCCGCGGUAAUACGUAGGGUGCAAGCGUUGUCCGGAAUUAUUGGGCGUAAAGAGCUCGUAGGCGGUUUGUCGCGUCUGCUGUGAAAUCCCGAGGCUCAACCUCGGGCUUGCAGUGGGUACGGGCAGACUAGAGUGCGGUAGGGGAGAUUGGAAUUCCUGGUGUAGCGGUGGAAUGCGCAGAUAUCAGGAGGAACACCGAUGGCGAAGGCAGAUCUCUGGGCCGUAACUGACGCUGAGGAGCGAAAGCGUGGGGAGCGAACAGGAUUAGAUACCCUGGUAGUCCACGCCGUAAACGUUGGGCGCUAGAUGUAGGGACCUUUCCACGGUUUCUGUGUCGUAGCUAACGCAUUAAGCGCCCCGCCUGGGGAGUACGGCCGCAAGGCUAAAACUCAAAGGAAUUGACGGGGGCCCGCACAAGCGGCGGAGCAUGCGGAUUAAUUCGAUGCAACGCGAAGAACCUUACCAAGGCUUGACAUACACCGGAAACGGCCAGAGAUGGUUGCCCCCUUGUGGUCGGUGUACAGGUGGUGCAUGGUUGUCGUCAGCUCGUGUCGUGAGAUGUUGGGUUAAGUCCCGCAACGAGCGCAACCCUCGUUCUAUGUUGCCAGCGCGUUAUGGCGGGGACUCAUAGGAGACUGCCGGGGUCAACUCGGAGGAAGGUGGGGAUGACGUCAAAUCAUCAUGCCCCUUAUGUCUUGGGCUUCACGCAUGCUACAAUGGCCGGUACAAAGGGCUGCGAUACCGUAAGGUGGAGCGAAUCCCAAAAAGCCGGUCUCAGUUCGGAUUGAGGUCUGCAACUCGACCUCAUGAAGUCGGAGUCGCUAGUAAUCGCAGAUCAGCAACGCUGCGGUGAAUACGUUCCCGGGCCUUGUACACACCGCCCGUCAAGUCAUGAAAGUCGGUAACACCCGAAGCCGGUGG